rnacentral:rRNA from 1 species
AUUGAACGCUGGCGGCAGGCCUAACACAUGCAAGUCGAGCGGAUGAAGGGAGCUUGCUCCUGGAUUCAGCGGCGGACGGGUGAGUAAUGCCUAGGAAUCUGCCUGGUAGUGGGGGAUAACGUCCGGAAACGGGCGCUAAUACCGCAUACGUCCUGAGGGAGAAAGUGGGGGAUCUUCGGACCUCACGCUAUCAGAUGAGCCUAGGUCGGAUUAGCUAGUUGGUGGGGUAAAGGCCUACCAAGGCGACGAUCCGUAACUGGUCUGAGAGGAUGAUCAGUCACACUGGAACUGAGACACGGUCCAGACUUCUACGGGAGGCAGCAGUGGGGAAUAUUGGACAAUGGGCGAAAGCCUGAUCCAGCCAUGCCGCGUGUGAAGAAGGUCUUCGGAUUGUAAAGCACUUUAAGUUGGGAGGAAGGGCAGUAAGUUAAUACCUUGCUGUUUUGACGUUACCAACAGAAUAAGCACCGGCUAACUUCGUG